GAUGAACGCUGGCGGCGUGCCUAAUACAUGCAAGUCGAGCGAACGGACGAGAAGCUUGCUUCUCUGACGUUAGCGGCGGACGGGUGAGUAACACGUGGAUAACCUACCUAUAAGACUGGGAUAACUUCGGGAAACCGGAGCUAAUACCGGAUAAUAUAUUGAACCGCAUGGUUCAAAAGUGAAAGACGGUUUUGCUGUCACUUAUAGAUGGAUCCGCGCUGCAUUAGCUAGUUGGUAAGGUAACGGCUUACCAAGGCAACGAUGCAUAGCCGACCUGAGAGGGUGAUCGGCCACACUGGAACUGAGACACGGUCCAGACUCCUACGGGAGGCAGCAGUAGGGAAUCUUCCGCAAUGGGCGAAAGCCUGACGGAGCAACGCCGCGUGAGUGAUGAAGGUCUUCGGAUCGUAAAACUCUGUUAUUAGGGAAGAACAAAUGUGUAAGUAACUGUGCACGUCUUGACGGUACCUAAUCAGAAAGCCACGGCUAACUACGUG
rnacentral:rRNA from 1 species